GGAGAGGAGGUGAGGGGGGGGGGUAAACAGGCGAGGAGGUGAGGGGUGAAGGUUGAGGAGUACAGGGAGGGGGUGAAAUGAGAGGUCAGUGAGAGAAGGGAGAGGGUUGGGCUGAAAGGUAUGGGGGUAUAGAGGGGGGUAGUGUUAGAGUAUUACAAAUUAAAUUAAUUAUUAUUAUUAUUAUUAUUAUUAUUAUUAUUAUUAGUCAUUUUUACUCUUGUGUGUUGGUUUAGAGAGAAAGACCACCAGAACGAAGCAUUUGGUUGUGACAAGAGAAGUUUUACUGGUAAAUAGCAACACAAAUACAGCUUGACUUGACUUCACACAGAGUUCAGUCGCGCCAGGCUGGAGAAUGCAUUCUGGUACACAAAAAAAAAAAGUCAGUCGUUUAAGAGCCAGAUCCACUGAGGUUGCUUCCUGGGGGGGCCUCCCGGGUAUACGCCUCUCUGGGACUGUAGCACAACAUAUUCUGAAAUAGUAAUUAAUUUCUGGGUGACAAUCAUGGCUUUGUGAACACCUCGACUCCACUUCUGCAGAUGGUCGUUAUCUGCUCUGCGCCAGGCUAAGAGGCCACUGACUUUGACCUUGGACCGGCCAGCUAAACUGAAGCAGAUGACUCCCUGUUUCCUCAGGCCCCUUGUCUGCACACCACACUGUGUCCUAAUCCAUUCUUGUGUACUGGUAAAA
ensembl:lncRNA